UCGAACCACGUCGCCAUAGAUAUAAUAUUGUACUUUUAAUAAAGUGUGUGAAUAUAUUAUAUUCUUUCAACAUUGCAUACUUCGAAAGCAUUAAUUUGCUGCAGUUUAUUUUUAAAACAAUAUAUAGUUUUAAUCAAUAUAGUUUUUCAAUUAACAUUCUGUUUCGAAAUAUUUGUGUUUUACAGACCUAAAAUAAAUUUUUCGACACGAUGAUAUUUUUACUAUUAAUUAGCGGAAUAAUGUAUAUCGUUGGGACGGCUUCUACUCCUAAUCAAUCGUCUUUAUGCUAUCAACCAUCAAAAUAUAUAAAACCAAAUCAUUACGAUAUCAAGUUUAUAUCAUAUAUUGAAAAAUACAUUUUCUAUGGAGAAUACAAUAUUAGCAUAAGCAUUCUUAACAAAACGCAAAAUAUAUUAAUCAACAACAUAUAUUCAGAUGAAUUAUUACCAGG